AAUUGCAAAUGGUGGGUUUUUCUGUUUUGUGGUGUUGUUAUGUUUUGUGUUUAGGUUUUUUAUUCGACAGAAAGUAAUUUUUUAACACAAAAUUUAAAUUAUUUGUACAAGUAAAUGUAUAACUUCUUUAGAAGAUUUUACAUUGUAUCAUGACUUCAGUUUUUGACGAAAGACAGGAAUUCUUGAAAAGUCCUUAUCUUUUAAAACGCGAGUACGGUAACUUCUCCCCAUUCUACAUUACAGUUGCAAUUUGCAGUGUAGUCCUUGCAAUAAUAUUUGUCAUUAAUAUCGUACUUGGUUGCUGUACCAGAUAUUCAGAGUAUUGGAACGACAGAUUUACAGGUAAUCGUUGGAUAAUAUCACUUUGGACAGCAACCCCUCAUAACCAACCAUCUCUUGACUAUACGGAAUUAGAAUUGGUAGAUAUACCAAGUGUAGCUCC